rnacentral:snRNA from 1 species
AUACAUAUAAGUUCCAUGAUCAAGAAGGUGGUUCACCCAGGGUGAGGCUCAGCCAUUGCACUCAGUGUUGUGCUGACCCCUGCGAAUUCCCCAAAUGUGGGAAUCUCGACUGUUUUUUUCAGCGCCUUGGGCUUCCUGACAGGGUU